GCCACCUUAGCUCAGCUGGUAGAGCAGCUGAUUUGUAAUCAGCCGGUCGUCGGUUCGAUCCCGACAGGUGGCUCCA
rnacentral:tRNA from 1 species